UACAGAGGGGGCAAGCGUUGUUCGGAAUCAUUGGGCGUAAAGGGCGCGUAGGCGGCCGAUCAAGUCGGAGGUGAAAUCCCUCGGCUCAACUGAGGAAUUGCCUCCGAUACUGUUCGGCUUGAGUCCUGGAGAGGGUAGUGGAAUUCCCAGUGUAGCGGUGAAAUGCGUAGAGACUGGGAAGAACACCAGUGGCGAAGGCGGCUACCUGGACAGGUACUGACGCUGAAGCGCGAAAGCUAGGGGAGCAAACAGG
rnacentral:rRNA from 1 species